rnacentral:rRNA from 1 species
AACGAACGCUGGCGGCAUGCCUAACACAUGCAAGUCGAACGAGACCUUCGGGUCUAGUGGCGCACGGGUGCGUAACGCGUGGGAACCUGCCCUUAGGUUCGGAAUAACUCCCCGAAAGGGGUGCUAAUACCGGAUAAUGUCUUCGGACCAAAGAUUUAUCGCCUUUGGAUGUGCCCGCGUUGGAUUAGCUAGUUGGUAGGGUAAAAGCCUACCAAGGCGACGAUCCAUAGCUGGUCUGAGAGGAUGAUCAGCCACACUGGGACUGAGACACGGCCCAGACUCCUACGGGAGGCAGCAGUGGGGAAUAUUGGACAAUGGGCGAAAGCCUGAUCCAGCAAAGCCGCGUGAGUGAUGAAGGCCUUAGGGUUGUAAAGCUCUUUUACCCGGGAUGAUAAUGACAGUACCGGGAGAAUAAGCUCCGGCUAACUCCGUG